rnacentral:rRNA from 1 species
UAGGGAAUCUUCGGCAAUGGACGAAAGUCUGACCGAGUAACGCCGCGUGAGUGAAGAAGGUUUUCGGAUCGUAAAACUCUGUUGUUAGAGAAGAACAAGGACGUUAGUAACUGAACGUCCCCUGACGGUAUCUAACCAGAAAGCCACGGCUAACUACGUGCCAGCAGCCGCGGUAAUACGUAGGUGGCAAGCGUUGUCCGGAUUUAUUGGGCGUAAAGCGAGCGCAGGCGGUUUCUUAAGUCUGAUGUGAAAGCCCCCGGCUCAACCGGGGAGGGUCAUUGGAAACUGGGAGACUUGAGUGCAGAAGAGGAGAGUGGAAUUCCAUGUGUAGCGGUGAAAUGCGUAGAUAUAUGGAGGAACACCAGUGGCGAAGGCGGCUCUCUGGUCUGUAACUGACGCUGAGGCUCGAAAGCGUGGGGAGCAAACAGG